UACGUAGGACCCAAGCGUUAUCCGGAGUGACUGGGCGUAAAGAGUUGCGUAGGUGGUUAGUAAAGUGAAUAGUGAAAUCUGGCGGCUCAACCGUACAGGCUAUUAUUCAAACUCACUAACUCGAGAAUGGUAGAGGUAACUGGAAUUUCUAGUGUAGGAGUGAAAUCCGUAGAUAUUAGAAGGAACACCAAUGGCGUAGGCAGGUUACUGGACCAUUUCUGACACUGAGGCACGAAAGCGUGGGGAGCGAACCGG
rnacentral:rRNA from 1 species